rnacentral:lncRNA from 1 species
GGGUCCUUGGGUGCAAGACUGCAAGCCAACACGCGCCGCCUCCAUCCACCUCUGAACCGGAUCCGAACCCUAAUUGAAUGCUUGACAAAGCCGCCUCCAUCUCCUGACAAAGCCUCCUUCAUCUCCUGACGAAGCCUCCUUCAUGCCCUGACGAAGCCGCCUUCGUCUCCGCUCUCUCCCUCCGCCUCCGCUGUUGACUUUGCUAGAUCGCCGAAGCCGAAGAUCUUCCAACUCCUUUGGAGGUUACUAUUGCGGCGGUCCACCGUUACGACUUCAAGACAGUCGGGAAGAAGGAGAUCGCAAGGAGCAAUCAAGCGUCGGAUCUGAUUACGUUUCGAAAUUUUGCAGAUACUGGGUUUUAGUGAUUUGAAGCUCGCUCCUCUGGGUUUUAUCACAUGUACUAGUAUCCCAGCCACCCCUCCUCUACCUUUCGCAGUCCAAGACCCGAAUUCUCUAACUCAAGCCCAAUUACAACAAGAGCAACUCAGCAGCUUUCAAGGAGAAGAAGUACACCUCCGUCGACCAUGCAACGGCACUUACAGCCUCUCCACUCAUAUCGGUGGUUUCAGGAAGGGAGACAUCCCCAAACACCACCACUUACACGUCGAAAUGGAGCAUUUCCAGAAGGACUGGGCGGUCUCUAACGUUGUCAAUUGAGUCUAUCAGCUUCGUCGUGGAGACGACAUUGAUGGCGUGCUCAACAGAUGGGUCGGACGCUUCGCC